GUCCAGGGUAGCCUAGUGGACAUGGCAUCUGCCCGGUAAGCGGAACACUGUGGGUUUGAUUUAAUCCCUGGACA